GGCCCCGUAGCUCAGCCAGGUUAGAGCGGCGGCCUUCGGUAAAUCCCUUGGAGAUAGCCGUAGGUCGUGGGUUCAAAUCCCACCGGGGCCG
rnacentral:tRNA from 1 species